rnacentral:rRNA from 1 species
AGAGUUUGAUUCCGGCUCAGGAUGAACGCUGGCGGCGUGCCUAACACAUGCAAGUCGAACGGAGUUGUGCAUCGGAAGUUUUCGGACGGAAGAAGCAGAACUUAGUGGCGGACGGGUGAGUAACGCGUGGGUAACCUGCCGUAUACAGGGGGAUAACAGUUGGAAACAACUGCUAAUACCGCAUAAGCGCACACUGUCGCAUGACAGAGUGUGAAAAUUUCCGGAGGUAUACGAUGGACCCGCGUCUGAUUAGCCAGUUGGCAGGGUAACGGCCUACCAAAGCAACGAUCAGUAGCCGGCCUGAGAGGGUGGACGGCCACAUUGGGACUGAGACACGGCCCAAACUCCUGCGGGAGGCAGCAGUGGGGGAUAUUGCACAAUGGGGGAAACCCUGAUGCAGCGACGCCGCGUGAGUGAAGAAGCAUUUCGGUGUGUAAAGCUCUAUCAGCAGGGAAGAAGAAUGACGGUACCUGACUAAGAAGCCCCGGCUAACUACGUGCCAGCAGCCGCGGUAAUACAUAAGGGGCAAGCGUUAUC